AUGACUUUAAGUUAAAUAAAACUAUUUACCUUCAAAGUAAAAAUUAAUAUAAUUUAAGUCUUA
rnacentral:tRNA from 1 species